UACGAAGGGUGCAAGCGUUACUCGGAAUUACUGGGCGUAAAGCGUGCGUAGGCGGUUUGUUAAGUCCGUUGUGAAAGCCCUGGGCUCAACCUGGGGACUGCGCUUGAUACUGCAUUGCUAGAGGAUGGAAGAGGGUCGCGGAAUUCCCAGUGUAGAGGUGAAAUUCGUAGAUAUUGGGAAGAACACCGGUGGCGAAGGCGGCGACCUGGUCCAUUACUGACGCUGAGGCGCGACAGCGUGGGGAGCAAACAGG
rnacentral:rRNA from 1 species